rfam:Mortierella elongata AG-77 unplaced genomic scaffold K457scaffold_1, whole genome shotgun sequence.
CCUUCUAGCUUUAAGGUUGCUUUUACGUAGCCGAUCUAGGUUAAAGACAUUGUCAGGUGGGGAGUUUGGCUGGGGCUACACAUCUGUUGAAAGAUAAUGCAGGCGUCCUAAGGAGGACUCGUCCAGAACAGAAAUCUCGAGUAGAACAAAAGGGUAAAAGUCCCCUUGAUUUUGAUUUUCAGUGCGAAUACAAACCAUGAAAGUGUGGCCUAUCACUUUAGGCCAGGCCUCUGGGCGGGUCCACAAAGGG